GGAGAGAUGACAGAGUGGUCGAUCGUGGCGGUCUCGAAAACCGUUGUGUGGGCAACCGCACCGGGAGUUCGAAUCUCCCUCUCUCCGCCA
rnacentral:tRNA from 1 species